UGCAUGGUUCCACUCCUUCGGGAAGUCAAUAGCGCAAGCCACCAGGUUCUCGGUCCUGAUAAAGAGAAAUGCUCGUAAGGAUGGGUAGUGACCUCGUCGUCAAGCUCCGCAGUUAAGCCGACGCACGAGGGACAAACUAAAUCAUGAUGCCACGUACCCUCUGAGGGGCAUAGAGAGUUAGCACGUGCCCAAGAGUGAUCUCCCUCCUUGCCAACUCCGCAUAUUUGAUCAGCAUCGCCAGUAAAUUGUAACAAGAGGGUCUGACCGGGGCACACCCUGUAGUAGCGACAAAAAUCGACCACCAGCAUUGGGAGAGGAAGCCUGAAUCCCAGCUUGAAAAGGUAGGCAUAAAAGACACAGUAUCCCCGACGGUCAACGUGUACCCUUUCGCCGCUUCUAGCGAGGACGAUGUUGGCGAAGCGAGGAAUAUCGCAUUGCUCCUUCAGCUGGGCAAUGCCAACUUCCCCCAUCAGUGGGGCUUCAUCCACUGGAUCCUCUAUCUCGGGGUCGGUGAAAUUAGUUGCAGAACCACCGGGGAGAGAGAGAAUGUUAGUCAACGACGGAAACUGGUCAACAUUCGACAAAUCGGUGGUUCUUACCACUGCAAAUGGGCCCUCAGCCACCGUAACCGACAUCGGAGAAAUAUCGGAAUGAGAAACACUCGCCAUUGUCAGUAUAAUGGAAGAGAAAUGGAAAAAUUCACCGGAAGAGCAAGAAAAGACGGAGAUCCAACGAAAACGACAGAGAAUAAAUUAACAAGGAGCACAUACUAGAUAAUCUGAAAACAAGAAGGAGCUCUCUCUCUCUCUCGGUAUUUCAUUUAGACAAAUAUAAAAAAAGUGUGAACUGAACGCUAUAACCCCUUAUUUAUAGACGAGGCAUAAAUGACCUUCACGAAUCCCAAAGGUCACCAUUAACUACCUGAUCAACCGCAAAACGGUUUAGGCCUAUAGUAACGGGCAUCAUUAUGACAGAUACCACGCACCGGCCAUUCAACCGCCAAUCACCACGUCUCCCCUAAAAUGGUUGUGACAUCCCCAAGGUACCAUGAGCUCGCCCCACGCGUCACCAUGCAUACGACGUCCCCCUUAUACGUGGUAAGUAUGAUCUUAUUCUCUUUAUGCAUGUAAAAAGGCUACGGCCAUCUCCAGAAGAAAAUUGGCUAUGGCCAUCCUUGAAGUAAAAAUGGCCACGGCCAUCUCCAAAAUAAAAGUCUAUGGCCACUCCUAAAGUAAAAAUGGCUACGACCAUCCCUAAAGUAAAAAUGGCCACAACCAUCUCCAAAAGAUGAAUGGCUACGGCCAUCCCUGAAGUAAAAAUGGCCACGGCCAUCUCUAAAAGAUAAAAGGCUACGGUCACUCCUAAAGUAAAAAUGGUUAUUGCCAUCUCUAAAGUAAAAAUGGCUACGGUCAUCCCUGAAGUAAAAAUGGCCACGGCCAUCUUCACAAGAAAAAUGGCCACGGCCAUCUCCAAAAGAUAAAUGGCUACGGCCAUCUCCAAAAGAUAAAAGGUUGCGGCGAUCCCUAGAGUAAGAAUGGCAAUGGCCAUCUCCAAAAGAUAGAAGGCUAAGGCCAUCUGUAAAAGUAAAAACGGCUACGGCCGUCUCCAAAGAAUAAAGGACUACGAUCGUCCCCGACGCAUAAACGACUACGGUUAUUGCGGAAUCCGCUGAUUGAGCUCAGCCUGAGCACAACCUCAAUAAGCGGAUGGACUAUCUGUAUGGGUCAAAACUUGACCUCACGAUAAUGAAUGAGACGAAUGCAUUUAUUAAUGCCUAUUUGUGAUUAAUAAAUGGUAUGGUCAUUUAUUAAUAAGAUUAUCAGGCAGAUACCCAAUUUGACAACUGAGGCCACGGCCUAGCCGUUCUUGUGAGGGUGUCCUCGGUGUGGUCCCAACCCAUUGGCGCCAGCUGGCAGGUCUCUUGGCUAUAAAUACUAGGAGGAAGAACCCUAAAAAGGGGGCUGUUUCUUCUUCUUCAGAUUGACUUCUAAAAGAAGAAAUAAAACAUAAUUGUAAGGCUCUGAACCUCUCUAUGGAGAGGCAGACCAAACCAAUAUCAUUAAUAAAAGAUCUUCACCCUCCUCCCUUUAAUAUAUAACUGUUUUCACACUUCCUUUUUCCACUUAAAGGAGUUUUUCCACUUAAAAGACAAUCGGAACAGGAUUUAGUUUAUUAAUUAUUUUUAAUCGCCACUUGGGAGAUUAAUAGUAUCCCAAGUCACCGGUUUUAAUCUCGAACCGAGGAAAAUUAUGACUUUAUUAACAGUCCGCGAACCAGAAAUCCGGGUAAGGAAUUCUGUUAACCCGGAAGAAUGUGUUAGGCAUUCCCGAGUUCCGUGGUUCUAGCACGGAUCACUUAACUAUUGCACUUGAUUUUAUCUGAUUUUAAUACAUGCUAGCCUAUAUACCUUUUAUUUAUAUAUCGCUUUUACCGUUAUUUAUUUUAAAAUACUUGCGACGUCGUGAAAAUACGUCUCUGACCACGUCGCCAUCAAGGAACCCGUGGUCGUCAACACAUUUCGACUUCGUCGAGAUUUGGAUUUAGGUCGCAUCAAUGCGCACACGAGUUUAAGAUAGUAAUUUAAUUAAAUCUCGUUUAAAGGUUCUAGCGUAAUAUUAUUUUGGUAAAGGCUGCUGAAAUUCGCUAAACGGCCCUUCCAAAUUCUAAUCAUUUUUUAUAAUCAAUUAUUGAGGGCCCCACAUUUAUAUUUUGUUCGGUGAGGCUCGUCUCCAUUUUUGAACCAAUUUUCAAUCAUUAUUUGUUUUAUAAGAAUUACGGCGUCAUGAAAACGCGUUUCUAACCCCGUCGCACCAAGGCACACGUGGUUAUCAACACAUUUCGACUUCGUCGAGAUUUGGAUUUGGGUCGCACCAAUGCGCACCCGUUUAAGAAGAUAAAAUUAUUAAAACGUGCCUAAAGUAAUUUCGCAUUUGUGAUUUGCGAGGGCCAUGAAAUUUAGCUAAAUGGCACGUCUCGGAAUCUAAGGAUCAAUACAAGAUUAAUUAAAGUGAGGGCUAUGUAAUUGUCAUACUAAAUUUCGUUUUAAGAAAUUCGGCGUUCUAUUCCUCCUAACAGUGAAUCUAUGUACUCCAAUGUGAUCGAAUAAAACAUGAAUCUAAACAGUGACAAAUAAACGCUUGCUUGAGCCCUUCCAGUUGUGUGACUCGGCAAACUAAAGACUUGCUAAUAAUUUCACAAAUUUCAACUCAGGCUGCCAGGGAGGAAAGCACACGGAACAUCCAGUAGGUGCUGAUUUUGCAACUGUUGCAGUGACUCGACAAACUAAAGACUUGCUAAUAAUUUCACAAAUUUCAACUCAGGCUGCCAGGGAGGAAAGCACACGGAACAUCCAGUGCAGAAUCUUUAUCGAUGAAUUUGGCUUAUCCUUAACGAUCAAUAUUAGUGCCUAUAAAGUUCUUAAACAGAGAAUCAAACACAAAUACAGAAGGCUAGAAUUGCUUCUACCAAGUGAACAUAAAACUAUGAAAUUAUCAAUUAACAAGCAUAAAUCUAUCACAUUCAUAAAAAUAUCCAACUGAUGUAACCAAAUCAGUGUGUAACAUGAACAUUAAUUCAACGUAGAACAUUUAUAAAUUGUCAAAGUUUUGUCAUGGGAACAAAAGCAGUAGAAAAUUAGAAAAGAGAAACAGAACCUCUCGUUAAACAGCAAACCCGAGCCGAAAUAGCAGGCCACCGGACGAGAAACUCAAAUAGGCACCGGAAUUUCGAAUCGAACACGAACUCGAAUCAAUCUCGGCUGAAAUUAUCCCCAUACUCGAAUAACCAGAAGUCUAAUCCAAUUGAAGAAACAGAACCAAAACCAUCUCUGAAAUCAAUUUAUCUGGUGUGUGCUUUUGAGAAUUUCCGGCGACGAAUUGCGAGUGAAUUCCGACGAUACUGAUGAGUGACUGAGCGUAUGUGUGUAGCCAGUGAAGGAGUGAAUUGGGUGUUGUUUUCCAGUGAGGGAACUUGUUUGGUUGAGUGAUCACCGGCGAAGUAAAGGUCGUUUGGACAGAGGCGACGCCGGAAGUUCAGGAGUUGUUUGGGUGAGCAGUUGUCGGGUGAGAGAGGGAGACGAAAUCAGGGGGUCUUUUUGUGUUCAAUCUAUUGCGUUCC
rnacentral:lncRNA from 1 species